UCUUACAGAUGAGCGAAGAAAGUGGAUUCUUGAGAAGGAACCUAUUCUUGGUGAAGGUGCUGUGAA
rnacentral:pre_miRNA from 1 species